rnacentral:rRNA from 1 species
AGAGUUUGAUCCUGGCUCAGAUUGAACGCUGGCGGCAUGGCUAAAACAUGCAAGUCGAACGCGUGUAGCAAUACACGAGUGGCGAAAGGGCGAGGAAUAGAUUCCUACGUACCCCGGAGUCAGGGAUAACCAUCGGAAACGGUGGCUAACACCUGAUGAUCUCGAAAGAGCAAAGUUUACGCUCUGGGAGCGGGGAAUCUCCUAUCAGCUAGUUGGUGAGGUAAUGGCUCACCAAGGCUAAGACGGGUAGCGGGUGUGAGAGCACGGCCCGCCGCAUCGGGACUGAGACACUGCCCGGACUCCUACGGGAGGCUGCAGUAACGAAUCUUCCGCAAUGCGCGAAAGCGUGACGGGGCAAUGCCGCGUGUGGGAUGAAGCCCUUCGGGGUGUAAACCACUGUCAGGGUCUAGGAACACAAUGACCAUACCCAAAGGAAGCACCGGCUAACUCUGUGCCAGCAGCCGCGGUAAUACAGAGGGUGCGAGCGUUAAUCGGAAUCACUGGGCUUAAAGGGUCCGUAGGCGGGACUGCAGGCGUCGAGUGAAAUACCACGGCUCAACCGUGGAACUGCUCGGCGAACCGCAGUUCUUGAGGCGAGUAGAGGCGAUCAGAACGAUAGGUGGAGCGGUGAAAUGCGUAGAUAUCUAUCGGAAUGCCGAAGGUGAAGACAGGUCGCUGGGCUCGUCCUGACGCUGAGGGACGAAAGCGUGGGGAGCAAACGGGAUUAGAUACCCCGGUAGUCCACGCCGUAAACAAUGCGCACUGGGUCGGGGAGGUUUGACGCCUUCCUGGCCGAAGCAAAAGUGUUAAGUGCGCCGCCUGGGGAGUACGGUCGCAAGGCUAAAACUCAAAGGAAUUGACGG